AGUUGGAGGGGUCUGAGCCAUGUUCAGGUCACGGUCCCUCCCCUCCUCCACAGUGCCUUGCAGGACACUGGAAACAGGCAAACUUUUCCUGCUGGUGGUUGCAAGGAGAUGGCUCUGGAGUACAGCACCCAGGGGCUGACACCAUUCUGCCCCCACAGUGCUGAUGCAGAGUGAAGAAGGCACCUAUCCCUACUAUGCACAACUAGCAGGGGCUCACCCUGCAUCCCUGCGCCCUUCUCCUCCUCAUCUCUCCCAUCAGGGACCACAGGAAGCCCCUCCCAGCAGAACCUCCAUGCAGAGCCCUGUGAUCUACGGGGUGCUGUAGAAAAGGGCAACGGGGAGGACAGCAGAGAGCCAGGAGACGAGAUUAUCCAGCUGAAGUGAACAAAAUCUGCGCUCCAACGAGCCAGAAUGAGUCACCAGCAAACACAGCUCCGUGGAUGUGAGCCCUCCAAAAGCCCUCAUCGCCUCACGUUAAACUUAAAGCACAACUUUGACAACCACUCCAUCAAAACCGGCUGGUGCUGCUGCGUUCGUAAUCCCCUCUGAGCCGCUGCCCGCUGCUAAUCUCUCCCAGAAACCACUAUUAAAUCUUUCCUGGUUUGCAAUGCCAAUUCUGAACGACGGGCACGAGGAGAAAAGCCAUCAGCAGGGCUGGCGUCUCCGUGCUAUUUGCACACGCUGCGGGAAGAUCGUUUUGGUGCUAAUGAGGCUAAUUAAAAACAAAUAAAUAAAUAAAGCCAUCCCAUCAAUCUGUACCAAAUUGAAACGCCGCAGUCCUUCCCAAAGCCAGCUCUGAGCACAUCGUGGUUCUCCUGGCUAUUGAAUGCCUCUGUGCUUUCCCAGGAGGCUGCGGGUUCAUCCAGGCACCGUGGAGAUGUGUUCCUAAAACAAACCUGCAGAGGUGCUUGGAUAAGGACACGGUCAGCUCAAGAGGAACCAAAUUACCCUUUGGAAUUGCCGCCAGAUAAUUGGCCUCAUUUACUAUUUUCAGACUGAACUCCUUCCCCCCACACAGUCACAGUGGAGGAAUAUUCAGGCGUAGAUGAUGUCCCCAAACAUAUCAUUAAAGCUUGAAAUAAACGUGCAGUGACAUCCCGUGCUAAGGACUUCCUCUGUGCUCCGGGUGGUAACCAGGAGGUUGUUUUCAAAGUCAUUUUUAAUAAACAAAAGAUUUCCCUCUUGUUUUUCCCCAAACAUUGGGAAAUGAAUGCAA